rnacentral:rRNA from 1 species
AUUGAACGCUGGCGGCAGGCUUAACGCAUGCAAGUCGAGCGGUAGCAGAGAGAAGCUUGCUUCUCUGCUGACGAGCGGCGGACGGGUGAGUAAUGCCUAGGAAUCUGCCUAGUAGUGGGGGAUAACUUGCCGAAAGGUGAGCUAAUACCGCAUACGUCCUACGGGAGAAAGGAGGGGACCUUCGGGCCUUUCGCUAUUAGAUGAGCCUAGGUCGGAUUAGUUAGUUGGUGAGGUAAUGGCUCACCAAGACCGCGAUCCGUAACUGGUCUGAGAGGAUGAUCAGUCACACUGGAACUGAGACACGGUCCAGACUCCUACGGGAGGUAGCAGUGGGGAAUAUUGGACAAUGGGGGGAACCCUGAUCCAGCCAUGCCGCGUGUGUGAAGAAGGUCUUAGGAUUGUAAAGCACUUUAAGUUGGGAGGAAGAGCAGUUAACUAAUAUUUGACUGUUUUGACGUUACCGACAGAAUAAGCACCGGCUAACUUCGUGCCAGCCGCCGCCGUAA